CCUUCGAUAGCUCAGUUGGUAGAGCGGUGGACUGUAGCAGAUGAGCGCACUCAUGCGCGGCUCAUAGAGUUAUCCAUAGGUCACUGGUUCAAAUCCGGUUCGAAGGA
rnacentral:tRNA from 1 species